UCGACGGAGUCCCCUGAAGGGUUUUCGGACACUGAUGGGACUACUUAGUGGCGGACGGGUGAGUAACGCGUGAGUAACCUGCCUUGGAGUGGGGAAUAACAGCUGGAAACAGCUGCUAAUACCGCAUAAUAUGUCUGUGUCGCAUGGCACUGGACAUCAAAGAUUUAUCGCUCUGAGAUGGACUCGCGUCUGAUUAGCUAGUUGGCGGGGUAACGGCCCACCAAGGCGACGAUCAGUAGCCGGACUGAGAGGUUGGCCGGCCACAUUGGGACUGAGACACGGCCCAGACUCCUACGGGAGGCAGCAGUGGGGAAUAUUGGGCAAUGGGCGCAAGCCUGACCCAGCAACGCCGCGUGAAGGAAGAAGGCUUUCGGGUUGUAAACUUCUUUUCUCAGGGACGAAGCAAGUGACGGUACCUGAGGAAUAAGCCACGGCUAACUACGUGCCAGCAGCCGCGGUAAUACGUAGGUGGCAAGCGUUAUCUGGAUUUACUGGGUGUAAAGGGCGUGUAGGCGGGACUGCAAGUCAGAUGUGAAAACCACGGGCUCAACCUGUGGCCUGCAUUUGAAACUGUAGUUCUUGAGUACUGGAGAGGCAGACGGAAUUCCUAGUGUAGCGGUGAAAUGCGUAGAUAUUAGGAGGAACACCAGUGGCGAAGGCGGUCUGCUGGACAGCAACUGACGCUGAGGCGCGAAAGCGUGGGGAGCAAACAGGAUUAGAUACCCUGGUAGUCCACGCUGUAAACGAUGGAUACUAGGUGUGGGGGGACUGACCCCCUCCGUGCCGCAGUUAACACAAUAAGUAUCCCACCUGGGGAGUACGAUCGCAAGGUUGAAACUCAAAGGAAUUGACGGGGGCCCGCACAAGCGGUGGAGUAUGUGGUUUAAU
rnacentral:rRNA from 1 species